rnacentral:pre_miRNA from 1 species
CUCUUUGGUUAUCUAGCUGUAUGAUUUAUAUUUUACUUCAUAAAGCUAGGUUACCAAAGCU